rnacentral:rRNA from 1 species
CCUACGGGAGACAGCAGUGGGGGAUAUUGCACAAUGGGGGGAACCCUGAUGCAGCGACGCCGCGUGGGUGAAGAAGCGCCUCGGCGCGUAAAGCCCUGUCAGCAGGGAAGAAAAUGACGGUACCUGAAGAAGAAGCCCCGGCUAACUACGUGCCAGCAGCCGCGGUAAUACGUAGGGGGAAAGCGUUAGCCGGAUUUACGGGGUGUAACGGGGGCGCAGACGGCGAUGCAAGCCAGGAGUGAAAGCCCGGGGCCCAACCCCGGGACUGCUCUUGGAACUGCGUGGCUGGAGUGCAGGAGGGGCAGGCGGAAUUCCUUGUGUAGCGGUGAAAUGCGUAGAUAUCAGGAGGAACACCGGUGGCGAAGGCGGCCUGCUGGACUGCAACUGACGUUGAGGUCCGAAAGCGUGGGGAGCAAACAGGAUUAGAUACCCCUGUAGUC